CAUCUUUGAUGAGGGCAGAGCUCACGUUGCAUUGAAGACGAAACCUCGGGGAGGUCAGGCGCUGUCUUUCCUUCCCUCCCUGCUCGGCGGCUCCACCACAGUUGCAACCUGCAGAGGCCCGGAGAACACAACCCUCCCGAGAAGCCCAGGUCCAGAGCCAAACCCGUCACUGACCCCCCAGCCCAGGCGCCCAGCCACUCCCCACCGCUACCAUGGCCGAAGACGCAGACAUGCGCAAUGAGCUGGAGGAGAUGCAGCGAAGGGCUGACCAGUUGGCUGAUGAGGCUGAUUCCAACAAAACCAGAAUUGAUGAGGCCAACCAACGUGCAACAAAGAUGCUGGGAAGUGGUUAAGUGUGCCCACCCGUGUUCUCCUCCAAAUGCUGUCGGGCAAGAUAGCUCCUUCAUGCUUUUCUCAUGGUAUUAUCUAGUAGGUCUGCACACAUAACACACAUCAGUCCACCCCCAUUGUGAAUGUUGUCCUGUGUCAUCUGUCAGCUUCCCAACAAUACUUUGUGUCUUUUGUUCUCUCUUGGUCUCUUUCUUUCCAAAGGUUGUACAUAGUGGUCAUUUGGUGGCUCUAACUCCUUGAGGUCUUGAGUUUCAUUUUUCAUUUUCUCUCCUCGGUGGCAUUUGCUGAAUAACAACAAUUUAGGAAUGCUCAAUGUGCUGUUGAUUCUUUCAAUCCACAGUAUUGUUCUUGUAAAACUGUGACAUUCCACAGAGUUACUGCCACGGUCCUUUGAGUGUCAGGCUCUGAAUCUCUCAAAAUGUGCCGUCUUUGGUUCCUCAUGGCUGUUAUCUGUCUUUAUGAUUUCAUGAUUAGACAAUGUGGAAUUACAUAACAGGCAUUGCACUAAAAGUGAUGUGAUUUAUGCAUUUAUGCAUGAGAACUAAAUAGAUUUUUAGAUUCCUACUUAAACAAAAACUUUCCAUGACAGUAGCAUACUGAUGAGACAACACACACACACACAAAACAACAGCAACAACAACAGAACAACAACAAAGCAUGCUCAGUAUUGAGACACUGUCAAGAUUAAGUUAUACCAGCAAAAGUGCAGUAGUGUCACUUUUUUCCUGUCAAUAUAUAGAGACUUCUAAAUCAUAAUCAUCCUUUUUUAAAAAAAAGAAUUUUAAAAAAGAUGGAUUUGACACACUCACCAUUUAAUCAUUUCCAGCAAAAUAUAUGUUUGGCUGAAAUUAUGUCAAAUGGAUGUAAUAUAGGGUUUGUUUGCUGCUUUUGAUGGCUAUGUUUUGGAGAGAGCAAUCUUGCUGUGAAACAGUGUGGAUGUAAAUUUUAUAAGGCUGACUCUUACUAACCACCAUUUCCCCUGUGGUUUGUUAUCAGUACAAUUCUUUGUUGCUUAAUCUAGAGCUAUGCACACCAAAUUGCUGAGAUGUUUAGUAGCUGAUAAAGAAACCUUUUAAAAAAAUAAUAUAAAUGAAUGAAAUAUAAACUGUGAGAUAAAUAUCAUUAUAGCAUGUAAUAUUAAAUUCCUCCUGUCUCCUCUGUCAGUUUGUGAAGUGAUUGACAUUUUGUAGCUAGUUUAAAAUUAUUAAAAAUUAUAGACUCC
rnacentral:lncRNA from 1 species